AUCUGGUUGAUUCUGCCAGUAGUCAUACGCUCGUCUCAAAGAUUAAGCCAUGCAUGUCUAAGUAUAAACAACUCUAUACUGUGAAACUGCGUACGGCUCAUUAAACCAGUUAUAGUUUAUUUGAUAUUCCCCUACUACUCGGAUACCCGUAGUAAUUCUAGAGCUAAUACGUGCGUCAAACGGCAUAUGUCGUGUCAUUAUUAGAUAGAAACCAAUGCGGUCUCGGCCGGUAUUGUGGUGAGUCAUGAUAAUUUAGCGGAUCGCAUGGCCUUGCGCCGGCGAUGGAUCAUUCAAGUUUCUGCCCUAUCAGCUUUCGAUGGUAGGAUAGAGGCCUACCAUG
rnacentral:rRNA from 1 species